GACGUUACCUACAGAAGAAGCACCGGCUAAACUCCGUGCCAGCAGCCGCGGUAAUACGGAGGGUGCGAGCGUUAAUCGGAAUUACUGGGUGUAAAAGCGCAUGCAGGCGGCCUGUUAAGUCAGAUGUGAAAGCCCGGGGCUUAACCUCGGAAUUGCAUUUGAAACUGGCAGACUAGAGUACUGUAGAGGGGGUAGAAUUUCAGGUGUAGCGGUGAAAUGCGUAGAGAUCUGAAGGAAUACCGGUGGCGAAGGCGGCCCCCUGGACAGAUACUGACACUCAGAUGCGAAAGCGUGGGGAGCAAACAGGAUUAGAUACCCUGGUAG
rnacentral:rRNA from 1 species